GGCAUUUUCUUCUGGUUAAAUGGGGGAUUUUCGAAGAGAAAAUGCACGAUUUUUGUUUACAGGUGAGAUUUUUGUAGAGGAAAUGCGUGAUUUUUUGGAUACAUGGGGGAUUCCUGUAGCAAAACUGUUUGAUUUUGGGGUCCAAUGGGGGAUUUUUGAAGAGCAAAAGUGUGAUUUUCGAGUUAAAUGGGGGAUUUUCCAAGAGAAAAUGCGUGAUUUUGGGAUGAUGGGGUAUUUUUGAAGAGAUAAAGCAUGAUUUGGGGGUAAAUGCGGGAUUUUCCAAGAGAAAAGGCGAGAUUUUGGGGUUAAAAGGGGGAUUGUUGAAGGGAAAAUGUGUGAUUUUCAGUUAAAUCGCGGCAUCUCUAAGAGAAAAUGCCUGAUGUUUGCAUUAAAUGUGUGAUUUUCAGGUUACAUGGGAGAUUUUUGAAGAGAAAAUACAUGAUUUUAGGGAUAAAUGGGGGAUUCUGGAAGAGAAAUUGCAUUUUCUUCUGGUUAAAUGGGGGAUUGUCGAAGAGAAAAUGCACGAUUUUCGUUUACAGGUGAGAUUUUUGUAGAGGAAAUGCGUGAUUUUUUGGAUACAUGGGGGAUUCCUGUAGCAAAACUGUUUGAUUUUGGGGUCCAAUGGGGGAUUUUUGAAGAGCAAAAGUGUGAUUUUCGAGUUAAAUGGGGGAUUUUCCAAGAGAAAAUGCGUGAUUUGGGGAUGAUGGUGUAUUUUUGAAGAGAUAAAGCAUGAUUUUGGGGUAAAUGCGUAUUUUCCGAGAGAAAAGGCGAGAUUUUGGGGUUAAAAGGGGGAUUGUUGAAGGGAAAAUGCAUGAUUUUGAGGUUUAGGGGGGGAUUCUAGAAGAGAAAAUGGGUGAUUUUCGGGUUUAAGCUGCUAUUUUUGUAGAGAAUAUGCGUGAUUUUCAGUUUAAAUCAGGGAUUCUUGAAGAGAAAAUGUGUGAUUUUUGUUUAAAUGGGGUAUUUUGGAAGGGAAAAUGCGUGAUUUUCGGGUUAAAUGGGGGAUUUUCGAAGAGGAAAUGCUUCGUUUCAGGUUGAAUUGGGGGUUUUCGAAGCCAAAAUGCGUGAUUUUCACUUAAAUGGGGGAUUUUCCAAACGAAAAUGCAUGAUUUUCUUUUUCGAUGGGGGAUUUUCAUAGAGAAAAGGCAUGAUUUUUGUGUUAAGUGAGGGAUAUUUGCAAAGAAAAGGCAUGAUUUUCGGGUUAAAUGGGGGAUUUUUCAAGAGAAAAUGUGUGAUUUUCAGUUAAAUCGCAGCAUCUCUAAGAGAAAAUGCCUGAUGUUUGCAUUAAAUGUGUGAUUUUCAGGUUACAUGGGAGAUUUUUGAGGAGAAAAUGCGUGAUUUUCGGGAUAAAUGAGGGAUUCUUGAAGAGAAAAUGCGUGAUUUUCGGGUUAAAUGGGGGAUUCUGGAAGAGAAAUGGCAUUUUCUUCUGGUUAAAUGGGGGAUUUUCGAAGAGAAAAUGCACGAUUUUCGUUUACAGGUGAGAUUUUUGUAGAGGAAAUGCGUGAUUUUUUGGAUACAUGGGGGAUUCCUGUAGCAAAACUGUUUGAUUUUGGGGUCCAAUGGGGGAUUUUUGAAGAGCAAAAGUGUGAUUUUCGAGUUAAAUGGGGGAUUUUCCAAGAGAAAAUGCGUGAUUUUGGGGAUGAUGGUGUAUUUUUGAAGAGAUAAAGCAUGAUUUUGGGGUAAAAGCGUAUUUUCCGAGAGAAAAGGCGAGAUUUUGGGGUUAAAAGGGGGAUUGUUGAAGGGAA
ensembl:lncRNA